ensembl:lncRNA
GUGGUGGAGGAGAAGGUUAAGCUGAUGGUUCAUGAAGAUUUCGGAUGAGAUUCGCUGGACGGCCUGGAUGACAGGCAGCCUGAGAGGGGGAACACAGUGAAGCUGAUUGGCUCAGAGAACUCAGGCAGAGAGUUUAUUGGUUAAAAAAAGUGUCGUAAUAAAGCAGAACAGAACUAACGAAGCAAAGCUGGAAUGAUGGCAGAAGAGAUCUUCCUCAUUGAGCUUAAUUAAAAUCUUCAUCUCUAUGUGAGGCUCGUGGCACCACGCCUGCAAAGGUGGAUGUUUCAGUCUGUAAACCUGGAAAAAACGCCGGCCGAUAAAUAAUCCCAUUUCAUUUUGGAAAUAUUUCACAAAGCAGCGUGAAACUCUGCUGCUCAUCAUUUUUUUCCAUAAUUAUCUUUAUUUGAGCUGAAAGACUCGAUCAGAUCAGAGCGAGGAUAAGCAAAGGUUGCUUGACUCUGAAACUUCAAAAUAAAAGCCUGUCAUUUAGCUUUGAUUCUUUGAGGGAGUAAAAGAUUUGAAAUGGAGCUUAUAGGUUUCAUCUGAUGCUGUUUUAGAUUUUCUGUGUGUGUUUGAGCCGUGAAGGCUGUGAAUACCUUUGAGUCACAGUAAUCCACCUGCAUGAGGGCCGUCUGUCCGUCUGUCAGCUUAAAUCCUGCUCAGCUCCAGUUUCAGCAACAUGUUCACUCGAUCACACUCUUCAGCACUUCAGCAGUGCGACCAGGUUCAGAUCAGAAAUAACUGAAAGGAAGGUCUGAUGUGUUCUUUUUGCACUUUAUCUUUCAGGACACGGUUAUCUCAGCCCACAGCAGCAGGCUGAAAAACCAUCUGAGAUAAUGUGCACAUCUGCAACCCAACGGCUCCUCGACAACACGAACAUCGGUGAUGCAAACUCUGCGUCUCUCACAUCCUGGAUCAAAGACAUGACAGCCAACACUGAGGAGGUCAAAGGCCUACCUACGUUCACUCUCACACUCCAGUGGAGGCAUCAGGGGUCACUCGAGGUUCAGCGUUUUGCCCAAGGACACUUUGCACACAACCCACUCGACCCUCUGAUCCCCCUCUGCCCCCAAAGCACAACAACCAAUGACAGCAAGCAUAACUCGGAAUAAAGGUGGAAAAAUGCUAACAAGGCAAACUUUGCUGUGUGUGGAUGCUAUUUCAAAUUUACUGAUUUAAUUUAAACUCAGACCACUGAAAAAGUGUAAUAUUGAUCUCAUUCACUGAGUUUGUUCUUAAAUUUCACUUUUAACAGUGUAAAAAAACAAGCGUUAAACUUAACCACAGGUAUGAGAUAUGUGGAUAUAAAAGGAAAAAUAACAAUACUGUAAAUCUACUGUGAUCCGGAGAUGGCUCAGGCUAAAUGCUGGACUAUCAUAAUAUCACUAUUACGAUUAUUGUGGCAAAAAUAAUUCAUGAUAAAUGUAUUUUUACAAUAUCACAAUAAUUAAAACAUAUAAACUGCUUUGUUGUGUUGUGUCUCGUUUUGUGUUGUUUGUAACAAAAAAGAAAAAAUUACAUGUUAUUACUG